rnacentral:rRNA from 1 species
CAAGUCGAACGAACUUCCGUUAAUUGAUUAUGACGUACUUGUACUGAUUGAGAUUUUAACACGAAGUGAGUGGCGAACGGGUGAGUAACACGUGGGUAACCUGCCCAGAAGUAGGGGAUAACACCUGGAAACAGAUGCUAAUACCGUAUAACAGAGAAAACCGCAUGGUUUUCUUUUAAAAGAUGGCUCUGCUAUCACUUCUGGAUGGACCCGCGGCGUAUUAGCUAGUUGGUGAGGCAAAGGCUCACCAAGGCAGUGAUACGUAGCCGACCUGAGAGGGUAAUCGGCCACAUUGGGACUGAGACACGGCCCAGACUCCUACGGGAGGCAGCAGUAGGGAAUCUUCCACAAUGGACGCAAGUCUGAUGGAGCAACGCCGCGUGAGUGAAGAAGGGUUUCGACUCGUAAAGCUCUGUUGUUAAAGAAGAACGUGGGUAAGAGUAACUGUUUACCCAGUGACGGUAUUUAACCAGAAAGCCACGGCUAACUACGUGCCAGCAGCCGCGGUAAUACGUAGGUGGCAAGCGUUAUCCGGAUUUAUUGGGCGUAAAGCGAGCGCA